AACAGGGAAUCAGCCCGACGUUCCAGAAAAAAAAAGCAAGAUUAUGUUUAUGAGCUUCUAGAGGAGCUUGCAAGAUCACAAGUUGAAUGCCAAAAGCACAAGAAAGAGAACGAAGUUUUGAGAGCUCAGGUUAAAGAAUCCCAAACUGAGCUUGCAAAAGUACAACUCAAGAACAGAGAACUAGAAUUCAAGAUCAUAGAAUUAUCUCCAAAUUUUGAUCGAUUUGUCACAGAGAAUAAUAUGAUU